ensembl:lncRNA novel transcript
CUCUGGCCAUGUCUUCAAGUGAGGGACCUGGAGAUGUUCUUUUCCAAUUUCUGGAUUGGGAAAUGGAGGCAAAUUCUGGGUACUAGAGUCAGAACUAAGACGAGGCUGAAUCGGGAGAGUCUGGGGUCCUGAGAGGCAGAGACCUGAAACCCUCUAGAUUGUGUGGGGAGCUGGGUGUGUGUUCUGGCCAGUUGUUUCUCCCUGUGCCUCAAUGUUCCAGGUACCCUUGGAGGGGGCUGAGAUCCUGGGGAUGCCUGGAGCCUGGCUGCAUGGCCUGGCCGCCCUGAUGCCUUCGUGCUCUCCACAGCAGGCCAGCAAGGCCGAGGAGAAUGGUUCCAACAGCUUCAUGCACUCCAUGGUCCCACAGCUGGAGUGGCAGAUGGAGACCACCCAGAGCCUGGUGGACUCCUAUGUGGCCAUUGUCAACAAGACCGUGUGGGACCUCAUGGUUGGUCUCACACCCAAGACCAUCAUGCACCUCAUGAUCAACAACAACAAGGAGUUUAUCUUCUCGGAGCUGCUGGCCAACCUGUACUUGCAUGGGGACAAGAACAUGCUGAUGGAGGAGUCGGCAGAGCAGGCACAGCGGUCAUGAACACAAUCAGCACGCCCACGGGGGCCCAUGGACAACUCCUGACUGCAGGUGCAGAGCAUCCUACUGGAUGCAGGUACCAGGGCUGGCCCCCACGGCCCCAAAGCCCCCCAGCCUCCAUGGCUAAGACUGUGGGCUCUUGGAACAGCCUCCAUGCCCAAGUUGGCAGAUGUGGGUGCUCUCUAGAGUCCUCGGAGAGGGCAGAGAACUCAUGGUUUAUGGUGUAGGGGCUGGGAAUGUGGAGGGCGUUGUGUGUGGGGCUGGACUCUGAGGCGGCCAGAGGCCUAGGAAUGUCACCUGGGCACAACAUAACUGUCGUGCAGUCUGAGUCAUGCUGCCAGGGCAGGGUAUCCAGUUCCCAGUCUGGGAGUGCCGAGAGCCAAAUCCACUGCAGAGCAGGGUUGAUAGUCAGGGUCCCACCUCCUCUAUAUGUUGGCAAUCCAGUGGUGAUCUAGGAUAAAAUCUUGAGAGUCCCAUACACAUGGUCAUCCCACAACACACCUCACAGGCCAGGCAGGAACACACAGCCCCCUUCCCUCCCUCCCAGAUACCAUCAUACCUGCUAGCGUGUGACUGAAGGCAGGGUCCCUGGCCCCUGCUGAAACACUACCGCCAGCCAGCGGGCUCAUGCACCUUGGCCUGUUGCUCCUAGGGGUCACCUGUGCUAUUCAGCCAAGGGGACCACAGUCCCUGCUGGCCCAGCUGAGCUCCACAUAGCCAGCCCACCCACCUCCCCUGCCACAGACUCUCCCUCUUCUGCUUUUCCCAGCAGGAGGGGCCCAGGCUCACCUAUGCAACCUGCAGGCCCCCACAACCAGCUGAGGCUCCCCCCUUAGACUUAUAAGUCUAUGGCCAGUGGCAUAUGCCCUUCCUGCCUCCCCCAGGGUCCUUUCAGAGGGUCCUGGGCUUUCUGAUGACCCAGAGGGGCCUCUGGCGCUCACUCAGUCCAGCCAUCCCUUUUAGCUUCACCAUCCUGGGUCAAGCAGUGUUCCUUCUCUAUCAGGCCUGGUGGCUGUUGGGUGGGGCUCCCCAAGGCGAGAGGUGGCCCUGGGCCAGUGGGUUGGAAGGGGAGGGUGACCAGAGAAGAGGGAAGCCCGAGGGGGCUGAGCAUUGGUCUGAACUGUGGGUGCACUGCCUGGGUGCCGUGGGAGAGGCCAGUGUGUGUGGGCUGGGGAGGGCUGCCACAGCCCCCAGGCACUACCUGUGAAGCUCCGGCUCCUCCCUCCAUCUUCCUCCCCUUUUCCUUCCAGCCCCUCUUUUCCAGGAACCUUGCCACACCUGCACCUGUGUCCUCCCCUCCCCGGCCCUCCCACAGCUGCUGCAGCACGCCUGUGCUCUGUGCUUGCCUCACCAGCUCUCUGCUCACAUUUCUCUCUCCCAUUUUCUCUCUGCUUUCUCUCCAACUGCCAGCUGAUCAGGUCAGGCAAGUCCAUCCCGUCCUGAGAGCCCCAGCCCCACUCUGACCUCUAAACAGAUCCUCCUCUUCUCGGAGGCCUCCCUUUCCAAGCCUGCCUGGGCGGGUGUCCUGUGACUGGACAGUGGCUCCCCAGCCCCAAAGCCAGCCCCCUUCAUCUGUGACUUAGUCUGUCAUAGUGGUGAGCUGAUCCAGGUGUGACCGUUGCUGAAAACUUGUGCCCCCUCUGUGGUAUGCCCCUGCCCUGUUCUAUAAAUAUCUAUAAAUACU